GCGGCAGGCCUUAUACAUGCAAGUCGAGGGGCAGCAUAGAUUGCUUGCAAUCUGAUGGCGACCGGCGAACGGGUGCGUAACGCGUAUGCAACUUACCUUUUACUAGGAGAUAGCCAAGAGAAAUUUUGAUUAAUAUCCUAUACAAUUAUUUUUUCGCAUGAAUCAAUAAUAAAAGCUCAGGCGGUAAAAGAUGGGCAUGCGUCCUAUUAGCUAGUAGGUGAGGUAAAGGCUCACCUAAGCAACGAUAGGUAGGGGUCCUGAGAGGGAGAUCCCCCACACUGGUACUGAGACACGGACCAGACUUCUACGGAAGGCAGCAGUAAGGAAUAUUGGACAAUGGAGGCAACUCUGAUCCAGCCAUGCCGCGUGCAGGAAGACGGCCUUAUGGGUUGUAAACUGCUUUUAUACAGGAAGAAACCUGCUCACGUGUGAGCAGCUGACGGUACUGUAAGAAUAAGGAUCGGCUAACUCCGUGCCAGCAGCCGCGGUAAUACGGAGGAUCCAAGCGUUAUCCGGAAUUAUUGGGUUUAAAGGGUCCGCAGGCUGUUUGUUAAGUCAGAGGUGAAAUCCUACCGCUCAACGGUAGAACUGCCUUUGAUACUGACAAACUUGAGUUAUUGUGAAGUAAUUAGAAUGUGUAGUGUAGCGGUGAAAUGCAUAGAUAUUACACAGAAUACCGAUUGCGAAAGCAGAUUACUAACAAUAUACUGACGCUGAGGGACGAAAGCGUAGGUAGCGAACAGGAUUAGAUACCCUGGUAGUCUACGCCGUAAACGAUGGUCACUAGCUGUUCGAUAUACAUUGGUAUGUUGAGUGGCUAAGCGAAAGUGAUAAGUGACCCACCUGGGGAGUACGC
rnacentral:rRNA from 1 species